GUCACGUGACAAAAAUUCAUAGAGUUUUCGGCUGAACUGCAGGAAGUGUUUCCACAGAGCAGAGAGGAAACAAGUCUGGGAGCUAAUUAAUGAUAUAAAUAAGCUAAUAUCUAUAGGAUGUAGAGCCAAUAUUAUUUUUAUCAGUGUUGCUAACACCUGUGGACACUUGGAAAAAUUAUGGAUUUAUUGUUUUAAUUUUUACAUUUUUUUCGUAAAAUUAAAAAAUGAGGGUUUUUAAUGAUUUGAGGCGUUUUAACUGCACCGGAGACACUCCUGACGUCUCUCUCCUGCUUCACUGUGUUUCCAUAAAGCUGCAGGACUUUAUAUUUGUUGAAAAAUGUGACAGGAGCAAAUAAAAAGCAGCUGCUCGUUGGGGUUCAGAGGGUUAAACCAGUUUGCUGCAGAUCUCCGUUAUGGCCUCGGUGCCGACGCCUGCUCUUCCUACCAAAGGUUUUAUUUCCAGUUACAAACCAGUUUACUGCAAACAUGUACCAGUACGUGCCACGUUAACGUCCUCAGUGUUACACACAAACCUCAUAUAUCUGACAUGUUGCCGUUUGGAGAACAGAGACGCUGGUUUUCUUCUGACAUCUGAGCUCACUUUUCACCCACAGCUUUGAAGCGAUGAGCGAGAGCCGGAGGACGUGAGUCCGUUUAUGUAGAAACAGCAGAAUCCGGUUCAUCUGGCUUCUGUUGCUUUGCUUUCCUGUGGUUUGGUGUUGAAACAUGAAGGUAGAAACCACUUCAGAGUUCAGCCUGUGGUGGUGGGAGGGUUUAUUAGGACAGUUUAGGUUAAGUCCCAUCAGACCAACUCUCAGCUUCUUUGUGUUUUUGUUUUUUUCUGCACUGUGCAGAAUCAUGUCCGUGCUGCCUUUUCUUUCUCAGGACUGCAGAUCAUUUAACUCAAUGGAAAGGUAUUAAACAGGAGGAGGAGGAAGCCCUCAAAGGUCACCUGGGUUCACCCCCGUCUGCUAACUGUACGUUUGUGAAGCUUAACUGCAACACAAAGCUCAUAAAAGACCUUCUGGACGCUGCAGCUCAGCGCCGCUUAUAUUAGUCAGUAAGUUUCCCACAAUUAUCAGAUUUAAUUUAAUUCAAUGGUGACUCCAAUGACACACAAUCAAUUUUGCAGCAAUGAAUUCGCAAUUUAAAGUGCAAUUUUUGUGUUUACGGGUUAGUAAAGUGGUUCCCAAAGGAGAGCUAUGGACCCCGGGGAGGUCAAAAAACGAUCCCCAGAAAUUAUAUAUCUUUAAAAAAUCAGAGAAAGUAUAUUUUAUCCAUUAUUAUGACAAAAUAUUAAAAAAAACAGAGUCUGCUGCAGAUUACUUUGACCGAUAUACUCUGACACGAGUCUAAACUACACAACAGAAGUGUGAUAUCACUGAAAUGUCCGUUAAUUCUGACUUGUAUCGCCUCCAAAACCUGCAGUAAGUUAAACAGCAGCAUUUUUCUUCUUAUGAACAAUCAGAAAGAAAUACUUUACAAAGACGAUAUUGAAAAUGUCCACUCAUAACAUCAGCCUCUCAUCAUUUUUCAAAAUGACUCACAAUAGGUUAAUAUGUGUCCAAAACACCCUCAAGAUGUGUCUAUAGUUAGUUGGAAAUUGCCCAAUGGUGUCCAAAAUGACUCAAAACUCAUCCAAAUGACUAAAUUAUUUUUAAAAUUGGCUAAAAAAUGAUCCAAGAUCAUUUAAAAAAUCCAAAAUGGCUUAAAAUGGCUUAAAAUUUGUCCACGAUGACUUAAAGUCCGUCCAAACUCGUGCAACGUGACUUAAAACGGCCAAAGUAAGUCCAAAACGAUUCAAAAUUCAUCCAAAGUGACUCAAGUAAUUCCAGAUUUGUCAAAAUUACUCAAUAUUGAUGAAAAACAAGUUAAAAAAAUGUCCAAAAUAACUUGAAAUGUGACAAAAAACCGACUUAAAAUGAAGACACGAAGUCAAAAUAUCAGAUUUUCAUUCGAUGUCAGAGGCUUAGAGGUAAUCCGAUUACUCUAAGGUGAUGCAAAUUUUGAGUUAUUUGAGAUUUAAGCGCUAUUACACGUCACUCCUGUUGUGUGCUGUGUGUUCUAUAAAGUGUUGUUCUGGUUGUUGGGUUGUGGUUUCUGUUUUGUUUGUUUGUUUAAAUCCGUCUGUUACAGCUUCAGUCGAUGCUGAAUGAAAUAGUUCCCCGUAAUUAUCAGUACAGAAACGUUUCUCACUGUAUUCAUACCUAUUUUAUUUUAUCAGCAAAGCAUUUAAACCGUUUUCCUGAAUGUUUCGUAGUGCGUUCACGUUCAGUGCUCCCUGUCCUGUAUGAAGUCCGUCAAAGCUUUAACUCUCACAGUCUGGGCUGAAGGAAAACACAGGAAGGAAGGAAAAGGUGGCGGAACAGCAGAUUCACAGAGCUGGAGUCAUGAAAAGCCGUUUCACGCUGAAGCUAAAGGGGUUUAGAGAUUAAAAGCAGCUGAGGUUUGGGUUUAAGUUAAAGGGCUAGUUCAGUGUUUUAUUUAGUCGAGCGUCUUAACAGCUGAGUUCAAGCUCAACAAAUCCAGGCUUUCUUUGAGUUAGAUUUAAAAACAGUAAAAAAAAAACAAAAAAA